rnacentral:misc_RNA from 1 species
UCACCUUUUAAAUUAUCCUCGAUAAUUCAAUAAAAAUUUAUAAUAUCCUCUUAUAUUGAAAAAAAUAUAUGAGUUUAGUUUCGAGUCCCAUAUCGAUAGCUGCCAAAUCUCACAGCUUUGACGCCACAUUAAGAAUCACGGAUUUUAGAGCGCAAAUCCAUAAGCAAAACGGACUCCUUCAUGAACUUGGCUUGAAACGAACUCUCCACCAAAAUAAAUUACACCAUUUUAAUUUGGUUUGCUUUGAACUUACAUGUCCUUUCCAUUAUCAUCCAUUGUCGAUGUAGAAUUUUG